UACGUAGGGGGCAAGCGUUGUCCGGAUUUAUUGGGCGUAAAGAGCGUGUAGGCGGCUUUGCAAGUCCGUUGUGAAAACUCGAGGCUCAACCUCGAGACGCCGGUGGAAACUGCAAAGCUAGAGUCCGGAAGAGGAGAGUGGAAUUCCUGGUGUAGCGGUGAAAUGCGCAGAUAUCUGGAGGAACACCGGUGGCGAAGGCGGCGUCCUGGACCAACACUGACACUGAGGAGCAAAAGCCAGGGGAGCAAACGGG
rnacentral:rRNA from 1 species